rnacentral:lncRNA from 1 species
GAAGUCAAAACAUGCAAAUGUGAAACACAAGAAUAAUACUAAUCCCAUAUGGCCUCAAACCUUUGAGUAUAAAUAAAACACCUUUUAUUUAUCACCAUAUUGAUUACUCAUUAUUUGUCGUUUCGGGUAAUCAACUUCUUACUUGAAUUAUUACACUUGUCCCAUGCUCUUAGCAUGCACACAAUGUUUACCUAUGGUUCUUACUUUGUGAAAUAGAUCAAAUUGAACACAUUUCCAAUCAUUCUCAUUUCACAACUCCAAAUCCUUUUUCAUAAGUGAAAGAAUAUCAAAUUCUUGCUACUUAUAGAAUAUGCUAGAUUCUAACAUUUUAUGCAAUGAUCCUUUCGUAAUGUCACUGCACCAAAGUCACAAAGACUAUUGCCAAUGAUAUUACAAAGUCCUCUAUUGGAGAUUGUUACAAGACAAUUCCAUAGACGUGAUGUCUCUCACUCAAAGUACAUUCUUUGAACAUCCUUUUGCAUAGAAGUUUCUAAUCUAGUCAUAGAUUUCUCAAUAUUCAAUUCCCAAUAUGGACACACUUCCAUAUGUUCCAUAUGACAACUCAUUCUUAAUAGAAUCUUAUCUAUUCGUAAUGAUGUCGAUAUGGUCCAUCCAAUAUGGAAACAUUUCCAUAAUUUCCAAAUGACAACUCAUUCUUAAUAGAAUCUUUUCUAUUCAUAAUAAUGUCGAUAUGGUCCAUCCAAUACCAUGCUUCCAACUACUCACAAGCGACCAAUCCUCGUCAAACUUUGGAUUGUCCUUUGAUAGUUGUUUAAUUAUUUUAGUCAAAACCAAUUCUAGUCCCUUUUCCCUCUAAAUGCGCUCGACAUUUGGAAAAUUUUAGAAUGGUCAAACAUUAAAGCAUUUGCAAUCGAUCCUAUACCCGAAGCGUAUGGGACACGACGCAUAAUGUUUUAUUUGCUAUGUUCUCAAAAUUCGAAUUGUGAAGAGGAAUGCCGUAAUCAUAAUCGAAAUUUUAAGAACACACUAUGUACCUUUGACUAAAUUUAUUAACAUUUCUCAACCUAAUCCUUUAGAUUUGAAAUGAAGCAUAAUAUUCUCUCCCUUAAUUAUAGCAAAACAACUUUACAACCCUUACGACUUUGCAAGGUAUAACUCUUGUUUUCUAUAAUUAAUAUUGCCAACUUGCAAUACGUGCCUUAAUAAUCAUACAAUCAUAACAUUUAUGCUCCCACUAUCAUGAUGAUUAUUAUAAAACAUAACACUUAUGCUCCCACUAGCUUCGACAUGUAUUCAUAAACAUCUUAACUUUCAGAAAAACAAUACUUAUUGAAUUUCUUAAGUUCAUGUUUCUAAUACUUAGUGCUUUGAUAAUCUUUUAUCAAGGCUUCUUGAACUUAUACACCUUUGCCUUAGAUAGUUCAUAUGUGUGUCUAAACAAUUACCAAACCUCACAAUUCAAAUUAUGGAAAGGGAUACCGUAACCAUAAUCGAAUUCGAGAAUGCAAUUUUACAAUCACUAUCUUCUUAAAAUCUUUCUUAGUGAAAGCAUUUCCUCACAAUCAUUUUCAUGAAGGAGGAAAUCUUAUGACACUUAGAUUUAAACGGUGUAUGUGUUCCUAUCCAUGUGAAUUUGUUAAAACCAAAGUUUACGACAAAUUCAAACUCAUAUGGACCGAACUUUCUUAAUCUUGAUUUCUUGCCUUAUGGUAGCACAGCUGCCCACCAUGUCUUCCAAGUAGUUAAGCAGCUCACCUUUUCCUAUCAAUGUACCUUUCAUUGAUUAAGGUGCUUUGCCUUUUAUGCGUUCAAAAUGAGAACUCAUAGAACUCACAUGCAUAAUUAACUCGAUUGGAUUGGCACAGAAUCAAAAUAAUGUCAACACGAUAGGUUGUAAACCUCAACUCGUGUGCUAGUGAUGAUCGAUAAGGUUUAUUUGAUUUGUUCUUGAAACCUUUCAAGACCAUUAAGACUCCCACUGACUCCUUGACAUAUAAGAUUCUCUUGUCAAUAACCAUUUCUUGACAAACAAAUAUUCAAGAGUUAGUGUAGCUUUUAUCAAAACACUUCAUAAAUUGGUCCUAGUUGGUCUUUGUCUUAUCCAAGACAUCACAACUUUCCACAUUUGAUGAAUGUUAUAAACCUUCUUAAUACUUUUCACUCAAUGUCACAAUCUUAACUUUAAGACUUGUUUUGGAACGAAGUAUGAUUGACUUUUUGAUUUAACCAUUUCUUCAAUUCUUGAUUCCUCUUCUUAGACAUACAAUUGUACUAAGACUCACUUAGAGGAUCAAUUGAGAUAUGGUUCUUAAUCAUUAAGACCUAUCAUAAAGCAUAAAAGGUACUCUCCCUUCUUCUUAGAAUGGAGAAACUUUUAUCUUUCUGCCUACUUGAUUCUUCUUAUUCGUUCUGCUAUUGAUUUAAACCUUUUAAAUCAAUUCAGAAUUACACUUAAUCUUAUAAGUAUAAUCAUAUUUACUAAACCUUUAGUAAAUCAUGACGAAUAUCUUUGUUACUCUUAUGGUGGACUUGAUCAACACGCAACUUUGUGUACUCGAUCUCCUAGUCCUUCACUUGACACUUUGUCAAUGAAUUAGUCUAAUUUCCAAAUAUGAAAUUUCUCAUUCAUCGUGCAACCAAGUUGCAUGAUUCCAAGUUUCUGUCCAAUUGAAACUUGGGCGAUGAGAAACUCUCCCUAUUUGGUAAAUUCUCGACUUUCCAUAAAUAACAUAAUAAGAACCAAAUCCAUUAUUGCUAAUAAUAGAAACAUUCAAACAUCAAUUUUUCAUAUACGCCAUUGCAAGGAUAAAUAAAUAAUAUAAAAUCAAAAUUUAUUUUAUUGCGGAAAAAUUUUGUCCUUACAAUGCAAUUCAUUGAAAAACUAUGCUAAUACAUCUUUCUUAGCAAUCUAAUUCUAACUCUAAGUAGUAGCUCAAGAAUCUAAUCUUCGAGAAAUGCGAUCGAAAUCCAUUCCUUCACGGUUAGAUUCUGCUCACUUCUUCCCUUAAGCUUCCUUUCUUUUCUUCGAUCCUACAAAACAUCAAUUGUAAUCUUAUCACAUUAUGUAUUAAGAAUCUAGAAUAGAAGCUUAAAAGAGUUAGUUAAUGGAUUUUACCUAUAUUAGAGCCAUACGUUUCGACUCUCCCAUCUCUUAGAUCUCUUAGGUAAAUGGGGCAGCUUCGUCUCCAAUGCCCUUUCUCUUGGCAAUAAAAGCAAAUUGACUCUUUUGGAACAUGACAUGGAACUACUUCAGACAUUGCCUUUCUCUUAUGAUCAAACUUUUCGAUCAUAGCAUGUCUUUCGUUGCCAUUGUCUAUAUCCAUAGAGGUCUUGAAGGCAGAUUCACCAAUCAACUUUGCUUUUCUAUUGCGCCAAACCAUUGCUGAUUCAGCAGCAAUAAGCAUAUAGGUGAGAUCUAUAAGGGUCACGUCGCGGUUCAUCAUAUAGUACUCUCUUACGAACUCACUAUAUGAGUUAGGAAGUGACUGAAGAACCCAAUCAACAGCCAUUUCCUCACAGACAACGGAUCCCAACAUUCUUAACCUAUCAAUGUGUGACUUCAUCCCUAGGACGUGUGCACACACCGACUUUCCUUCUUUAUGUUUACUUGCCAAAAGGGCUUGAGUGAUCUUGAACUUUUCAAGCCUUUGAACUUGUGGGUUAGGGAGAAUAAUUGGAGGAGGUGGAGGAAGUGAAGCAUGAUUUCUUGUUCCUCGAUCGAAUCGUGGAAUAUCAUCUUCAUGUGGAAAGCUUGUUCCACGGGAUUUGGGAAGACCAUAGUUGUCGAACUUUGACAUCUACAAAACGGGAGAAAACGAAUUCAAGUUAGUUGAUUGAUUGAGUCCUUAGUAAAUCACCCAAAUGAGAUACUAAGGCUAGGACCCAACACAAUAUUCUACAACUCGGGAGAGGGAUGCCGUAACCCAAAUUGCAGAACAUUUGAAGGUAAGUGAAUGACGAUUCACUAAUUUCCACCAUGAAAAACGAAAAAGAAAUUUAAGUUUUAAAUCUAUGAAAACUCCUAGAUCCUUUGAGAUUCAUUGAACAUUCAAUGGCAUGUUUAAAUCUCGAUAUGCCCCUCUUGUUUGUGACUGGGAUGCCGAGGAUCACAAAGCGGGUGUGAAUAACCAUGCAAACUUACAUGGUGCCCUCACAUGUUACAGUCACCUAUUCGAUGUGCCGGUAAACCACACACGCUCCACCGAACUAUGACAAACAUUGAGUCACCCUUUGCUACCUUUGCUUAGAACCAUUUAGUGUGCCGGUAAACCACACACGCUCCACUAACGUCUUCGCAAGGGCACAAAGUGUAAUUUCAUGGAAUUGCAUCAAUUCACUUUUGCCUAAGUAACUAAGAUUGGGAAUUUUAUGAAAACAUUUAGUUACUUUUAUAAUUCAUUAUACUUAUAAUGGAAGGUUUCGUCCUAUCCUACCCGUUCGGCUAACGACCCUCCACUAGUCAAGAGUGCGGUGGGUAAGAGUGGAUACCCAUUCAAUCGCCAUUUUAUAGGCAAUUUCCUUAAACACCCCUUAUAGACCAGCUUCGUGAAUGAGGCCUACUAACGGUAAGACUGACUUUUACUCAUACAUAUAUAUAAUGUUAGACUUUUAAUGUUAUAUAUAGUAUAGGGUGUAUUUUACACUUUUAAAAUACUAGGUGGUCAAAUUUAACAAUUAUACUUUUAAUUCAAUUAAAUUGUAAACCAAAACUUUUAAGGAUUUAUUAAACCUCUUUUAAUUAUACACCUUAAUUAAUUAAUAAAACCAUAAGGGUGUGAUUUGAACUUUUCAAAACAAUAUGAGGGUUUUAGAAUUUAACAUUCCUAGAUUAACUUUUAAUCAACCUUUAAAUUCCAAAACUUGAGGGCAAGUAUUGAAACAUUUCAAAACAUUUAGGUUUAGAAUUCAAAUAUACAUUAAACUUUUAAUCAAAAUUUAAAUUCCAAAACUUGAGGGCAAGUUUUGAAACCUUUUUCAAAACGUUAGGGUUUCAACUAUUUAAAUUUCAAAACUAAACUUUUGAGUUCAAAUUUAAACUAUAAAACCUAAAGGGGAAAAUUGAAACUUUUCAUAACACAAGGAUCAAAUAACAAAUAAUAUAAAUUAAACAAUUAAUUUCAUCAUUAUCUAUAUUUGACCUAAUUUCAAUUUCUUGCAAAAUAAGUUACCCAAUUAAUACAAAUAAUCCAAUCUUUAUCAUAUAAGGAAGUUAUUAUCUAAUCAAUUGGUAAUUAUCUUGUGUUUUGGCAAGGAUAUUCUUUAAGAAACAAUAAAAUUCGUAUUUUAUAGGUUUAAAACGAAUAUGGUAAUUAUCCUUAAGCAAAUCAGCAACAAAAUCCAAAGUUUCCUCUGUCUGACGCUCCGACUCACCGAGUCACACUUUGGAACUCGCCGAGUAGGGCUGACUCGCCGAGUCCAGGUAGUGACUCGCCGAUUCAGGUCGAACAGUAAGCCAGAAUACGAUUUUCAGCAACAUAAUGCAUCAAUACAAUAGAAACCAAUCUAGGCUCUGAUACCACUGAUGGGUUUUAAUCAUAAGAACAUCCUAUGUGCUCAUACAAACCCUAAUGCUUGGAUCUAGGUUUCUCUAUUGUACAUGCACUUUAUCCAAGACUAUAAACCCUAGAUCUAGCAUAUGAUAAUCAAUAUAACAUAUAAUUAGGGUUUAGAUCAUACCUUGAUUGUUAUGUAGCAAUAACAAUCUCAAAUCCUCCUUGUAAUGACUUUAGAAAGCUUAGAGUCACAAAUGUCACUCCUCUAAUGGUUCACAAACACCAAAAGCAAGAGGAUGAAGAAGAGAAGAGAAGGAGGCUCUCAAAAACGUGUGGAAACCCUAGAAGGAAGCUUGUCCACAUUUUUGGGGCAUAAGGGCUCUAUAUAUAGUGAGGCUAUUAGGGUUAUCUAACAAGGAAACCCUAAUUUGGAUGCUUAAGCCUUAAGCAACCCAUGGACUCCUUUCCUUAAAGGCCUUGGACGAUUUCUAAUGGGUUUCCCCAUAGAAUUCGUCCAACCUUAUAAUAUAAGGCAAUCCAUAGCCCAAUUGCAAUUAUCUUAUAAUUACAAUUCCAAUCCCUUAAGUUUAAUUAAUCUCUUUUAGUCACAAACAUAAUUCUUAUUAAUUCUUGACUAAUAUUAAUUAAACAAUAUGAUUUAUCCUUUAAUAUAUUAUUCCCAUAAUAUAUUAAUAAAUCAUAUUUAAUCCUUUCUCUCCAUAAUUCAUCCUAUCAAGUUGCUUUGGUGAAGGCAACCCAAAAGGACCAUGCACCUUCGGGUCAAGUACAUACCAAAAUAGUUAUGGACUUAGACACUAAUCCAACAAUUAGAACAUGGAGGAAGGUAUAUUUCGUUCAGAAACUUGACUCUAAAAGACUUGAGUCUAGGCAGUGCAUCAUAUGAUGAGAGGUCAUUAGAACAUGACCCAUCAGUCUAUUAUGGUAAUCGAAGGAAAAAACUUAUCCUAAGUUUGUUAAGAAGAAGAAGGAGUCUUGUAACAUCCCAUUUUAAGGAGGUAAUUAAAUAAUCAUUCAGGAACCCCGGGAAGUCAUUAUUAUUAUUAUUAUUUUAUAGUAUUAGAGCUCAAAAAUCAAAUAAUAAAUAUUAGGAUAUUAGUUUCGGGGAUUAGAGAAUGAUAUUGGAUUUAAUUUAAAAGGAAAUGAGGUGGAUGGGCUGGUUAUGUCAUAGUUAUGAUAUUGGGGAUUGUUUAGUAGUUUAUGGGACUUAACUUGUAAGGGAUUUCCAUGGAUUGGGUUGAAAAGGUAAAUUUGGAUUAUUUUGAGAGAAUUAUGGGGAGGAGGGGCCAUUUUGGUUAUUAUGGGAUACUUUUCUUAUGGGGUUCGGGGUAUUUAAAUGUAAUAUACCCGUCACCCUCAAAACCUAACCCUAAUUAUUUGUUGCGGUCGUCACCUUCCACACCUCCUUUCCCUCCUGCCGCCACCACUUGACACCCUUGAUGUUCUGAUCGAUCAUGAGCUCCGACGGUAUCCACUCGAUUGGAGACGCCGAAGACCGAUGGGGGUUGCGGGUGACCUUCGGGUGUUUCCGUAUUCUCACUUCCCGCCGCUAUCGCAUCAUUUAUAUGGAGGUUGGAGUGCCACCGCCGCUGCAAACGUUAUCGAGGAUUCCCCCGACGAAGCUGGGUGCGCCGCUGCGACCUCUCCGUUAUCCUUCUAUCUUCUUCUUCUCUCUUUUCUGCCACCGUUCACAACCACUCUCGGCUGUUAGCAGUACCAUUAUGAUUACCGUUUCCCUUGAUGUCGCCGGCACCGUGAGCCGCCUUGGUGGCUGGAGUGUAUUCUAAAUCGGAUGUGUGUGUUGUAGCUGUGUCUCGCAAAUUAUUGGUGCCUUGGGUUGCUGCUGCCGGAGAAAAAUCAAGGAAAAACCACCAUGGCUGCCGGCUAUGGUGGCUGCCACCUCAAGGACCACCAUAGAGGGUGUGUAUGCUUCUGUAGGGUGUUAUUUUAUGUGGGUGUGGUUAUUAGUGUUAGUGUGUCUGUUAAUCGGAUGGUAUUGUAAAUUGUAACAAGUGAAAUAAUGAAAGAAAAGCUCAAAGCAUCACCGUAGGGUGGUGGCUGCCGCCUCNCCGGCCGCCAUGUCGGGUGGCGGUGUGCCUUGUUUGGUUUGUGACUCGUUUAGAUGUUGGACAAGGGACUACUAACCCUAGUGGGCCCAAAGAGACCCCAAUGGACCCAAUAAAACCAUAAUGAGCUUGAUGAUAUGCUAGUGGGUCUAAUAGGCCAAAUAAAGACCUAAUUGACCUAAAAGCCCAACAAGUUGAUAAAUGGGCUAGUAGUUGGGUUGGAAUUAGGGUUUGGAAAGCCCCAAGAGCAUAAAACCCUAAUUGUGGGAAUUGUUUGGGACACACAUGGGAAUUAACUAUUAAACUUAAAAUAAUAAUUAAUAAUGAUUGGCCAACUAACUUAGCAAUAAUGGACUUAAUGGAUUAAGUCCUUAAGGAGUUAAGUAAGAAACACUUAACCCUAAUCAUCAUUUCAUGUGAAAGCCCCAAUCUCAUUCGGGCCUUGAAUUGGGACUUCCUAUUGGGCUUUGGCGAUUGGACUAUUGAUGGGCCAUCCAAGAACAAGUUAAUGCAUCAAAGUAAUUAGAUGGGCUUUAGGAUAAGGCCCAUGUGAGGACUUGGGCCCAAUUUGGAAAAUUAGGCCAUAGAUGGGCCAUAAUUGGACCUUUUAUGAUUAUGUUGUAAUGGGCCAUGGGAAUUGGAGCAGAAUAAUUGGAUGGGCCUUAAGGAAAGACCAUGUAGAGGUCUGGGCCCAAUUUGGAAAAUUGGGCCAUAUGUUGGGCUUUGGCCCAUUACUUGACUAUUGAGCCUUUAGUGUGUGAGUUGGACUUUGGUCUUUGAACCCAAUUAUUAAUUGGGUGUUGCUUGAUGUUGGCAGCUCGGGAAUCUGUCAACCAGCAGCUGGAGUUUUAUCUGCAGGACUUCAGUAGUGCCAGGUGAGUUCUCCUCACUAUAUCAACAGGGUCUAAGGCACCAAGGCUGACCCUUUACGGAUUGUAUUCGGAUUAUUGCAUGUUAUGCUUACUGAUUUAUAUCCUGGUAGUUAGAAUGGUGAUAUACUGUGCUUUAGUGACCCGGUUGGGUCGGUAUCCUGGUAUAUAGGAUGAUGCUAUGUUAGUGACCUGUUAGGUCGAUAUCCUGGUUAUAGGAUUGUUGCUAUGCUUUGUGAUCUGUUAGAUCGGUUUGACUGCUAUAUAUAUACAUGCUAGUGUUAUAUGAUGUCUAUGUGCACAUGAUUGUCCUAGUUAUAGGAUGAUGCUAUGUUAGUGACCGGUUAGGUAUGUAUCCCGGUUAUUGGGAUCUUGCUAUAAUUGGUGAUCUGUUAGAUCGGUUUGACUAUUAUAUGAAAUGAGCCAGCGUAUGAUAUUUAUGUGCACAUGUUUGUUUGAUUGGGGGUUGGGUUGAGGCGGUCCUGCUUUGUGCUGUGGGCCAACAUACCCGACGAGCGGUCCGGAUAGGCUGUAGGCCCUGCGUGGCGGUCCAGACGUGCUGAAGGCUCGAAGAGCAGUCCAGAUAGACUGAAGGCCUGUGAGGCGGUCCAGUCAGGCUGAUGACUCAUUAUGCAUGAUGUUCUGUAUUGGUUAUAUGAUAUGGUUAUGUUUGUAUGGCGUUGGUAUUUUGGGGAAACUCACUAAGCUUCGGGCUUACAGUUGUUGAUUUUAUUUCAGGUAUUUCUGAUGAUCGCGGGAAGGCGAAGGCAUGAUCGCGCACCUCCUUAUAUUUUCAUGAUUGAUUCUGGGGAUACUCUGAUGUCUAAACUAUUUUGAAAACAAAUUGUAAUGACUUAAUGGUUUUAAAUGUUUUAAAAAGUUUUAAAUUGGCUUGAAUUUUUGGGGUGUUACAAGUUGGUAUCAGAGCCUUGGUUUGAGUGAAUUGGAGGAACACUUGUGUAACUCCAGUAUCAAAUCAAGGAAGGAUUUUCAAAAUGAUUUUUCAAAAUUUUUGUCAAAGUAAGUAAAGGAGGAUACAGGGUGUACGAUCAGCCGAAGCCAGUAAGUAGACCCCAAAAAUACCAUACAAGUUAUUUGAUUAUGAGAUAUGUUAGAACAACAUGCUAGUACUAGGCUAGGGUUCUUCAGGAAUUGCAUGAUAGAAUUGCCUGAUUACAUGAUGCCUGCUAGCCUAGGGUUUCUUUAUAUGAGAUUGACAUCAAAACUGCAGCUGUUUAGUGUAUAUAUCACGGCUGUACAUAACUAAGAUCUUAUAGCCCAAUAAUGUUUGAUUUGGCCUUAUGUUUUAUUCUUAUUGAUUGGGGCUUAGGGUAAGAUUGGAUAUUCGAAAGUCUAUAGGGUCCAACGUUAUGUAUGGCUAGCAUGCACUAGUGCUGCAGGGUUAGUGGAAGUUUCAUGGAUGAGUGGGUUGUGUGAGGCCAGUAGGCCAGUUACGAGAUAUUUAGCAUUCCUCUAGGAUUGAGGAUUGAGUGCUCUCCAUGAUUAUGUAUAUUGAUUAGGGCGUUGUGAUGACACUUGAGACAAAUAUGGGUAGGUGUGGAAGGUAGUAUGGACCCGUACUACUGAAAGCACAUGACCCAUAUGCGUAGCAAGGUAGUCACAAUCCCUAGGGUUUGGUUGGGAGUAGGUUCCCUGUUAUUGUAUGGAUUAUCAGAGAUCUCUCUGGUGUAUUAUCAGAAUGAUGGUUACACAAAGUCUUGAGACCGGGUCUAGGUCAGGAUCGGGAGUUGGCAGUCGGGAUAGGCCAACAUUAUCAGAGGACCGUGUUAGUGAGAUUAUCACAGAGGAGGUGAUCGGGGUCGUUAGGGAACAGUUGUCGGAGAUGUUUGGGUCUAUCAAGACCGUCAUGGUUGAGUGUUUCAACGAGCGCUAUGCAACCAUUGCCGAGACAGUUGCCGCAACAGCUAUAGCAGCUGUAAUGACGGCAGGGGGAGGAGCUGGUCGAGCUUUUCAGUACCGGGACUUGUUACUGGGGCAUUUUCUUAUGAGUCGAGGGCUGCAGUUACUUGGGAUCAAGGAGAUGUUAUGUACUUGUUACAAUCCGCAGGUUAAGCGGGAGAGUCUAGCACAUUAGUUUCUAGAUUUGAGGCUUCGUGGGUUUGCUCGAGGCUGGAAUGUGAUUCGCGGGGACUCCGGAAAGGAGUAAUGAUUAUGUUCAGCUGAAGUUAUGCAGCUGGAAUUAGAAUGGUUAAUUGAUAGGAUUGGAAUGUUGUCUUCCAGGGCAAGGAUUUUGCCCUUUCAGUUUUCGAGCUCAAAGGAGUGAGCAAACUUUAGGACCCUAGGAUCAGGUUGUGUUCCAGCUCGGGUCAGUUGGUCGCUGGGAUUGGCGACAUUAGUUCAGCGCUGAUGGGUCAAUGUGGCAUAAGUGUGUUGUGAGGUCUGGUUCGCCUUGGAUCUCUCGUAUCGGGCGAUAAGGAUUGAUUGUGCGAUCUAUUGCACUUUUGGGAUUGUAUACUAUGUCGUGGGAGUAGUUGUAUCCUGGUUUAUGGAAAAGGUUGUUUUAGCUACUGCGGUUCAGCUGUGGAUGAUUGAGUUGGUGAGUGAGUCAGGGUGCGAGGCCCUAAAUGAUAUGAUUUCUAGAGCCGAGAGCGGGAGAUUUGUUGGAGCACCUUGGGAAGAAGGGUAUUAUAUGGGAGGUCUGCAGACAGGGUCCCACAUGAUGGUUAUUCAGCAUUGUCAGGAUUCAGUGGUUUUAGUAAGCGUUAUUGAUUGGCGGAGGAAAGCACCAAGGGAAGUAGCUCGUUGUUGAGACAUUAGUUGGAGUAUCUAUCUUUGGACUUUAAGAUUUGGGAGUGGGAUCAUUCGAGCAUUGGGGACUGUUGGUGUCCCUCGGAUUCAGAAAGUGUUCAGCUGGUUGUUAGAAGUGUGUGAUCACUAGGGAUUGGCUGGUAAUGGGGCACUAAUUGGUAAGAUUUGGUUGCAUUUGGAUCGAUCGUUGUUAGUGAGAAAGAUUGGAAGUUCUCCAAUUUUCAUGUAUUGCGAAGACUUAGUCGAAUCUAAGCGGGGGAGAAUUGUCCCGUGAUAUAGAGGCAUGAUUGGUUUUGGAAAUAGGAUAAGUUUCGCAUCAUUGUCAUGAAGGAAGACAACCUAAGUGGCUAUUUGGUUUGUGGGUUGUGUGAAUUGGGAGUUCGGUAAAACUCCUGAGCAUGUGUAUGACGUUUUCCUGUUGAUUGAUAAUAGAAGUCAGGAAACCAGGUUGGAGUUCUAGUCAUGAAUUGUGUUCUGUUCGAGUAUUCGGCCGAGGGUGUGUUCGACUCUGAAGGUUUUAGAUUGAUAGGUUGAGGGUUUUGAUGGCUGCCAGGACUCGACAGUACAUUCAGUGCAAGUGUGCGGUUUAUUAGCAUAAGCGGUAGACAAGGAGGUCAGGGAACAAACCACAAAUUUUUGAGAGGAUGGACGAUCGACAUGAGGCCUAGGGUUAGGUCGGGGUCAGAGUCCACGAAAUGGAUCAGGAGUUCGGAACCCUAAGUGGGUGAGAACAGUCUGCAUGGGAAAGAUCACCAGAGGGUGGUCCAAGGAGAUGCUCAAUAGUUUAGAGUGGUCCAGAUGACUGAAGGCCUGGUGAGGCAGUCCAGUCAUGCUGAAGACUCUGUAUGUGUUUGUAGAUUUAUGUGUGGGCAUUGAGUAUGCUGCUACGCUAUAUCAAAUGCUGCUACGCUAUAUCAAUCAGUAGGUCUGUUCCCAAGUAUUGAACGUGUUGUUGGAGUAGUGUGAAGACUCCGGUGUAAUUUUUGUUUGAUCGGAAGUUGUUAUUAAAAAUUGGAUGGAGUACAACGGAUCUUGGUGAUCUCAUUAGUUUGGAGGGUCUCAUAGGAUUAAUCUGCUUGAAUCGGAAAAUACUCCAGUUGGGGACCGGGAGUAGAUAUGGAUGGGUAUCUGUCAGUUUAGGAAGGCUUGGGAUUAGAAUGCUUUGUCGUUCAGGUUUUGGAAACCGGAUUAGACCUGGAUAAGCUAGUAGGAGCGCCACUGAAGUUAUGAGACCAAGGAAGCAAUGGAUUGCUUAAGGUUGCGUGUGAUGUAAGGCUACCAUUGGUCAUGUAGCAAUCGCUUUCAGUCAUCGGUUGGUAACGUCGGGAUUCGACGCAUGGAUCCGAUCGGUUGGAUCAGGAGGCUAUUAGGGCCUCAGUGACAUGAUAACUAGUGGCAACUAGUUCCAGAGAAGGAUUUUGCCCAGAUUCACAUGAAACAACUAUGUGAGAGUCCUUUAACCACGCGACCGGGCCAGAACCUGGUAUGCCAUAUGAUUGAUGAAUGAAUUGAGACCAGAGAGGUCUCGGUAGAUUCUGGAAAGUAGCCAUCUGGAAGCUUACUGCUUCAGGCAGAUCAAUGUUCAGACAAUUUCUGCGUUUAGGGCGGUAUUGAUGAAUUGGGUCUUCAGGUGUAUGGGAAGUAUCUAAAUGUUGGAACCCCUGAUAUCAGAAAUUGAAUAGUUAUAUGAGAGACAGGUGGAUUUGGAUCAACAAUAAUGAUUAGGUGUGAGAGGUCUGUCAAGGAGCCAGACCAUAUCGAGAUUUCAGGUUUCGGAUCGAGUAAAUGCGAUCAUAUUGUGAGGGAUUCAUUUCUGUUCAGGUUUUAGAACCCUGCAAGGGUUGGUCGUGGAUGCCUUGGAAAGGCUAGGGUUAUGCCUGAAAUUUUAGCAUUGUAGUUCAAGUUGGUUGGGGUGUAAGGAAUGAUCAUAAACGAUUUCGAGGACGAAAUCAAAUCUAAGUGGGGGAGAGUUGUAACAUCCCAUUUUAAGGAGGGUAAUUAAAUAAUAAUUCAGGAACCCCGAGAAGUAAUUAUUAUUAUUAUUAUUAUUAUUAUUAUUUUAUAGUAUUAGAGCUCAAAAAUCAAAUAAUAAAUAUUGGGAUAUUAGUUUCGGGGAUUACAUAAUGAUAUCAGAUUUAAUUUAAAAGGAAAUGAGGUGGAUGGGUUGGUUAUGUCAUAGUUAAGAUAUUGGGGAUUGUUUAGUAGUUUAUGGGACUUAACUUGUAAGGGAUUUCCAUGGAUUGGGUUGAAAAGGUAAAUUUGGAUUAUUUUGAAAGAAUUAUGGGGAGGAGGGGCCGUUUUGGUUAUUAUGGGAUACUUUUCUUAUGGGGUUCGGGGUAUUUAAAUGUAAUAUACCCGUCACCCUCAAAACCUAACCCUAAUUAUUUGUUGCGGUCGUCACCUUCCACACCUCCUUUCCCUCCAGCCGCCACCAUUUGACACCCUUGAUGUUCCGAUCGAUCAUGAGUUCCGACGGCAUCCACUNNNNNNNNNNNNNNNNNNNNNNNNNNNNNNNNNNNNNNNNNNNNNNNNNNNNNNNNNNNNNNNNNNNNNNNNNNNNNNNNNNNNNNNNNNNNNNNNNNNNNNNNNNNNNNNNNNNNNNNNNNNNNNNNNNNNNNNNNNNNNNNNNNNNNNNNNNNNNNNNNNNNNNNNNNNNNNNNNNNNNNNNNNNNNNNNCCCCAGCCACUCUCGGCUGUUGGCGGUACCAUUCCGAUUACCGUUUCCCUUGAUGACGCCGCCACCGUGAGCCGCCUGGGUGGCUGGAGUGUAUUCUAAAUCGGAUGUGUGUGUUGUAGCUGUGUCUCGCAAAUUAUUGGUGCCUCGGGUUGUUGCUGCCAGAGAAAAAUCAAGGAAAAACCACCAUGGCCGCCGCCCAUGGUGGCUGCCGCCUCAAGGACCGCCAUAGAGGGUGUGUAUGCUUCUGUAGGGUGUUAUUUUAUGUGGGUGUGAUUAUUAGUGUUAGUGUGUGUGUUAAUCGGAUGGUAUUGUAAAUUGUAACAAGUGGAAUAAUGAAAGAAAAGCUCAAACCAUCACCGUAGGGUGGUGGCUGCCGCCUCCUGCCGCCACCGACCGCCAUGUCGGGUGGCGGUGUGCCUUGUUUGGUUUGUGACUCGUUUGGAUGUUGGACAAGGGACUACUAACCCUAGUGGGCCCAAAGAGACCCCAAUGGACCCAAUAAAACCCUAAUAGGCUUGAUGAUAUUUUAGUGGGUCUAAUAGGCCUAAUAAAGACCUAAUUGACCUAAAAGCCCAACAAGUUGAUAAAUGGGCUAGUAAUUGGGUUGGAAACCCUAAUUAGGGUUUGGAAAGCCCUAAGAGCAUAAAACCCUAAUUGUGGGAAUUGUUUGGGACACACACGGGAAUUAAUUAUUAAACUUAAAAUAAUAAUUAAUAAUGAUUGGCCAACUAACUUAGCAAUAAUGGACUUAAUGGAUUAAGUCCUUAAUGGAUUAAGUCCUGAAGGGGUUUAGUAAGAAACACUUAACCCUAAUCAUCAUUUCAUGUGAAAGCCCCAAUCUCAUUCGGGCCUUGAAUUGGGCCUUCCUAUUGGGCUUUGGCGAUUGGACUAUUGAUGAGCCAUCCAAGAACAAGUUAAUGGACCAAAGUAAUUAGAUGGGCUUUAGGAUAAGGCCCAUGUGAGGACUUGGGCCCAAUUUGGAAAAUUAGGCCAUAGAUGGGCCAUAAUUGGACCUUUUAUGAUUAUGUUGUAAUAGGCCUUAGGAAUUGGAGGGGAAUAAUUGGAUGGGCCUUAAGGAAAGACCAUGUAGAGGUCUGGGCCCAAUUUGGAAAAUUGGGCCAUAUGUUGGGCUUUGGCCCAUUACUUGACUAUUGAGCCUUUAGUGUGUGAGUUGGACUUUGGUCUUGGAACCCAAUUAUAAUUGGGUGUUGCUUGAUGUUGGCAGCUCGGGAAUCUGUCAACUAUCAGCUGGAGUUUUAUCUGCAGGACUUCAGUAGUGCCAGGUGAGUUCUCCUCACUAUAUCAACAGGGUCUAAGGCACCAAGGCUGACCCUUUACGGAUUGUAUUCGGAUUAUUGCAUGUUAUGCUUAUUGAUUUAUAUCCUGGUAGUUAGAAUGGUGAUAUACUGUGCUUUAGUGACCCGGUUGGGUCGGUAUCCUGGUAUAUAAGAUGAUGUUAUGUUAGUGACCUGUUAGGUCGAUAUCCUGGUUAAGGGAUUGUUGCUAUGCUUUGUGAUCUGUUAGAUCGGUUUGACUGUUAUAUAUAUACAUGCUAGUGUUAUAUGAUGUCUAUGUGCACAUGAUUGUCCUGGUUAUAGGAUGAUGCUAUGUUAGUGACCGGUUAGGUAUGUAUCCCGGUUAUUGGGAUGUUGCUAUAGUUGGUGAUCUGUUAGAUUGGUUUGACUGUUAUAUGAAAUGAGCUAGCGUAUGAUAUUUAUGUGCACAUGUUUGUUUGAGUGGUGCUUGGGUUGAGGCGGUCCUGCUUUGUGCUGUAGGCCAACAUACCCGAUGAGCGGUCCGGAUAGGCUGUAGGCCCUGCGUGGUGGUCCAGACGUGCUGAAGGCUCGAAAAGAAGUCCAGAUAGACUGAAGGCCUGUGAGGCGGUCCAGUCAGGCUGAUGACUCAUUAUGCAUGCUGUUCUGUAUUGGUUAUAUGAUAUGGUUAUGUUUGUAUGGCGUUGGUAUUUUGGGGAAACUCACUAUGCUUCGGGCUUACAGUUGUUGAUUUUAUUUCAGGUAUUUCUGAUGAUCGCGGGAAGUCAAAGGCGUGAUCGCGCACCUCCUUAUAUUUUCAUGAUUGAUUCUGGGGAUACUCUGAUGUCUAAACUAUUUUGAAAACAAAUUGUAAUGACUUAAUGGUUUUAAAUGUUUUAAAAAGUUUUAAAUUGGCUUGAAUUUUGGGGUGUUACAAGUCUCUAAUAAGGAUCUAUUUUGUAACUCGAAAGUUACGAUUGAAAGUCCAACAUAGGAUAAAGAGUAGGUGCAAGAUUUAGCACCGCCUGCAGUCAAGAAGUCCAAGACUUAGAUAUUGAUUCGAAGGAACAUAGAAACUAUGGUUAUUACCUAGGAUGAAAAGAUAACAUAUGGAGUCAUUAUACCAGCCCUGUUUCGUUGAUGAUUCUGGGACGUAAUCAUCCUAAGGGGGAGAUAAAUGUAACUCUCGCAGAUUCGGGCUAGUCAAUUUAGACACGAUAAGCAUCAAAAGAGGAUUAUUUAUAAUAAAUAAUCUGAACUAAGUUGUAGUAUAUUUCACAAGGGUUCUGUACAUAUAAAGAACGCCGAAAUUCGGGUUAUAACGAAGAAGUUAUGACAUGUCGAAGUUUCACGACAACACCGACACGACACCAGGAAUCGUAAAAAGUGAGUUUACGAUAGAUUACUUUUUAUCCUUAGGGUUCUUAACGAAAGUUGUAGAGUACGUCUCCACCUUCAUGUGGAUAGAAAGAACGUAAAAAAUGGAGCUCGUAUGCAAAAGUUAUGGCCUUCCGAAGAUAUCGUUGUCUGAGAGCAUGACAUGUGUCAGAAACCCUAAUCUGACUGGCGUCACGACGUGAGAAGUCAAACGGACAUUAAUCGGGCCUAGAAAACACCUGGGAAGUCUAUGGGAUGACUCUUGAAAGCUCACGACGUGAGCUUAUAAUUCUCACGACGUGAGAAGUCGUUCGGACACGUUUCAGAGCUGUAAACGCAAUUGGCAAGUCUAAGGGGUGAGCAGGCAUGGCUCACGACGUGAGCAAUGAAUUCUCACGACGUGAGAGGCCAAAAAUCAGCCUAUAAAUAGCCAUUUCGACCCUAAGCUUCCUGAUAACCAAUUCUUUUUUCUCUUUCUCUCUCUUUCUCUCUCUCUCUCUCUCUCUCUCUCUCUCUUUCGUUUGCUGAAGUCGUUUCACGUCUCGAGCCCGACGAUCACGAACCGCUGACCGUUUCUAGUUAGAUUCUAUCAAAGCACGCUACAAGUGAGUACAUAGUUACUUUCAUCUUACACAUAGAUAUGAAGUAUUUUAUAUAAAAUUACGUGCUAUAUGUGCAUAUUAUCUGAAUACUUGCUGUUUAUGUUGAUGAUCGAUUUUAUAUACGUUUUAAAUGAUUUAAACUGUAUAUGUAUUUUAUAUCUAUAAAAUGUGUUGGGUAAAACAUGGUUAGAUGUAAUAGUUGGUGUGUGAUGAAAUAAAAUGAUGAGAGUCCUCGAUGUUGGCGUUGAUCCAGUCAUCUAGCGGAGUAUAGAUGACGACCACAGACUUUUCUAGACAGUACAGUGGAACGCUAGCAGGCUCGCAACCUGUAGGUAUUUAUUUGAACUUAGUGUUCGCCAGCAGUACUCCACCCCCCCCACCAACACAUGGUUGCCUUAUUUGACAUAAAUUGCUGAGGAAUCUCCAAAGCAGUGUUGUCACCCCGAUGAAAAUCCUUAGGCUAGGUCCAUCAUAAUAGAUGCUUUAGGGACGUAAAGUGAGGAUAAUGGGAACGGGUAAUCGGGUUAAUUGGUUGAUGAAAUUAAUAAAUUUAUUUAUUGUGGGUUGAAAACUCUAUGUGCUCACCAGACUCCCAAGCCUGACCCACUCAGUUUCUUAUAUUACAGGUAGUGGCACAAGAGCAUAGUUGGAUGACUUGAUGAGGUAUUAUGGAUUAUAGGCCAAUAGAUAUAAGUAAUGUUGUAAGGCCUAUGGUGUUCUGUUUAUGUUUUUGAUCAAUAUUGAACAUGACAUCCCGAGGUUUAAUAUAAUAAAAUACAUUUCUUCGGAAAUGCUUUGAUAAAUCUUUAUCAUAUUUUCUUUUGGGGACAAAUUCUGCAACACUUUUAUUUGAAAGAUUAAUCUAAUUUUAUUAUAAAAGCAUAAACGAAAUCGGGCUUUUCUGGCCAUGAAAAUAGGGGAUGUCACAAUAUCAAACAACAGUCUGGUAUUUUGUGGUUUACUUAUUGGCUCUGACUGAUCGUACACAUCACAUCCUCCUUGAGUAUCUUGAAAUCCAUUUGAAAAUAUUUUCCUUAGUUUGAGACAGGAUUCACAUGAGUGUUUGUCCAAUUCACUCAAACCAAGGCUCUAAUACCAACUUGUAACAUUCAAAAAAUUCUUGAAAAUUUUUAACUUUUUAAACAACCACAAAACCAUCAUUUAUUACAACUUGUUUUCAAAAUAAGUAUUACAUCAGAGAAAUUCCAAAAUCGUAAAAAGAAAACAUGAGGAGGUGCAUGAGCACACCUUCGCCUUUCCAUGAUCCACUAAAGUGAAACAUAAUCCAAACUAUAAGCCUAAAGCUUAGUGAGUUUCCCCCAAAAUACCAAUACAUAACAAAUAAAUAGUUAUACUAACAACAUACGUUGGGCCCAAUCAACCAUCAGGUUGGAAUACGCCAGGCCCCUCAACCAUCGGGUUGGAAUGUCAAUAUAGUACGGAUCCUAUCAUCCUUGGGAUAGAAUACCCCAGGCCCUCAACCAUUGGGUUAGAAUGCGAACGUACUAUGGGUCCAAUCAUCCUCGAGAUGGAAUACCCUAGGCCCCUUAACCAUCAGGUUGAAAUGCCUCAACCUGUUGGCUUACGCACAAAGUAGUGAAGCCUCAGCCGCUAACAAAUCAUUUACACAUAUAACAAAUAAUCAUAUAAUAGUCUACAUCUAGUCACAUAGAUCUACAGAUCACUAAGCAUAGCAACAUCCUAUCUACUAGGAUACCGAUCUAACAGAUCAUAACAAUACAAUAGCAUGCAUAACAUGAUAUCAAUCCAAUGUGUCGACAUUGGUGCCUUCGACCCGCAAAUAUAGUGAGGACAACUCACCUCACUAGUAGUGCAGAACUGAUAAGGUCUGACUCUAAAUCUCAGCUCCUGAAUCAAUGCCUACAACCAUCAUGACCAAAACCCAUCAAAAUCCCGAAAUACCAAAAAUACCCUCAAAAGUCCAACUUGGUCAACCAUGGUCAAAGCCAAAGUCAAUGGUCAAGGUUAACAGUCCAUGUUGACCCAACUCGUCCAGUGGAUCUCUUGGACUCGUCGAGUUCUAUAGAACUCAAAAAGUCGGGGAAAACCCUAGUCAACUCACUGAGUUGGCUGGACAACUCGCCGAGUUUUCCCCAGCUUAACACAUACAACUGAUUCUUCGAUUCCAAAGACUCUAAGGCUCAGUUCUAAACUCCAAAUGUGUCUAAAAGGAUAAAGUUUCCAACUUUAUCCUUCAGGACUACUCCAAAUGCUCAAAAACCCUUCCACAGGGCUUGAAAACUCAAAGGCUUAACCAUUAAGCACAAAAUACUUGAGAUCUAGAACCCAACUUUUCCAGAAGAGGUUCUAGCCUCAAAACAUCCCAAAGGUGGGUUCUUUAUAGACAUGCAUGUCCAAUGCAUGUCUUGAACCAAAAAUGAGUCAAAAAGGGGAAAUAUGACCUAAACUCCAUGCAUCGCAUCAAAACUUGGCAAAGGACCAGAUCUAAUCCACUCUAAGGUCACCUUGACCUGGAGAUUCAUAAAGUUGCAAAGUUUAUGAAGUCCAUCCAUUGCAACAUCCAAGAAUAAGGAGAAAAAUGGACAAAACUCAAGAUCUAGCUUCAUAGAUAGAUAAAAAUCGAAUCUUGAACACUUACAAUGGUCCAAAAGAGUGCCAAACUGAAGAUAAGAGCUUUGCUUGCUAGAUCCUUGCCUCAUUCUCUCAAACCCUUCCUUCUUUUGCUCCAAAAUGCCACACUAACUCACAAUAUGAGAUGGAAUGAAGAUUAGGAUUCACAAUGCCGAUAUUAGGGUUUGGAGGCUGAUAAAAGAUUAGCCUCAAGGACUUAAGGAGGUUAUAUAGGGUGCAAACCCUAAAAUUUAGGGUUUCUCAUUCAGCCGCCAACUCGUCGAGUUUUCCUCACCAACUCGUCGAGUUGGUCCAAAAUGAUGUGCGACCCAAAAGCCUUCAACACGUCGAGUUGAGGCCAUCAACUCGACGAGUUCCAAGGGAAAUUUGUCUUUGAAUAAAAAUUUCAUACCUAAGAAUCGGGAUGUUACAUAGAGUAUUGCAUUUUUAUUUUUAUGGAAACUCUACCCAAAUAUAGCAUGUUACUUUUAUUUUUAUAAACUACCCUGAUAUAACAUUACAUUUUCGUCUUAUUUUGAAAAUUAACCAAAAUAUAGUAUUGUACUUUUAUUUCUUUUAAAACUACAUUGAUGUUGCAUUGUUUUCAUAUUUUUUCUGAAAAUCUACCAUAAUAUUUCACUAAAUUUCCAUGUUUUUUUCUUGAAAAACUAUCCGGAUGUAACAAAGCAUUUUCAUCGCUUUUUUUUUUUUUUUUUUUUUUUUUUUUUUUUUUUUUUUUUUUUUUUUUUUUUUUUUUUUUUAAUUUUAGUGUUCAUGUUAAUGCUUUAUGUACCAUUUGGUUUUAUUGUAAUUUCAGGUAGAGAGAUGGGUAUAUAUCUUAGUACUCCAAAAACAUAAAAGUUCUUUGAAGAUUGUGAGAAUGAGAGGGUCAAAUAUGGUUUAUCGACGAUGCAAGGGUGACAUAAUUGUGAAACCUCAUAUACUCUUGAGCCAUGUCUAACAUGUGCCCAUUUUCUAGUUGAAAUUGAAUUUUGGAAAUGUAUUGUAAGACUUAAAAAGGCUAGAAAUCGGGUGAUUGACAGCGACUCCUAUUGAAAUUGAUAUAAGCACCAUUAAGAUAUUUUUGAAAAAGAUAGAGGAGUAUGUUAAUUUUGAAUUCCAAAAUCAAAUGAAUGCAUGUUAAGAGUUGUAAGAUCAGAAAUUAUAUGUGAUUUUGUCCUUAAGAUUAUGAUUUAGAAUAAGGAAGGGAUAAACACAAUUUACUAUCACAUUAAUUAUAUGACUUUUUAAUUUUAAAUAACAAAAAAACUAAAAUUGACAGAUAAAUAUUAUUUAUUUAAAAUAUAUUAAAAUUAAUGAUGAUUGACAUAUAACAUAAUAAAUAUUGAUUUAGAUCAGAAAUUAUAUGUGAUUUUGUCCUUAAGAUUAUGAUUUAGAAUAAGGAAGGGAUAAACACAAUUUACUAUCACAUUAAUUAUAUGACUUUUUAAUUUUAAAUAACAAAAAAACUAAAAUUGACAGAUAAAUAUUAUUUAUUUAAAAUAUAUUAAAAUUAAUGAUGAUUGACAUAUAACAUAAUAAAUAUUGAAUGAAGAGUAAGAUAUCAUAUUAAAAAAAAAAAUUAUUUCAUUAGAUUUUCAUACAACUCGGAUAAAUCAUAUAUCUGACUCUUCCGUUAUGUUAAUAAUUGUUGGUUGAUUCAACCAUGCUAUCUUUAAUUAAUGAAAGAGAUAACUUGCAUUCAGAAAUUAUAAUUGAUAUCGACAUUAAUACUCUUUAAUGUUUGCCGAAAGGAAAUUCUGAAAAUCUAUAAAGAUGAAAAUUGCAGUCAAAUUAAUUUGGUUUUCAAGCACAAUUGAAUGAAAAAAGCAUUAUUGCCUACUUGCAUAGGGCAACCCCACACUCAUAAAUAUUUAAUUUCCUUUAGUUUGCAGAUUUUAAUUNNNNNNNNNNNNNNNNNNNNNNNNNNNNNNNNNNNNNNNNNNNNNNNNNNNNNNNNNNNNNNNNNNNNNNNNNNNNNNNNNNNNNNNNNNNNNNNNNNNNNNNNNNNNNNNNNNNNNNNNNNNNNNNNNNNNNNNNNNNNNNNNNNNNNNNNNNNNNNNNNNNNNNNNNNNNNNNNNNNNNNNNNNNNNNNNNNNNNNNNNNNNNNNNNNNNNNNNNNNNNNNNNNNNNNNNNNNNNNNNNNNNNNNNNNNNNNNNNNNNNNNNNNNNNNNNNNNNNNNNNNNNNNNNNNNNNNNNNNNNNNNNNNNNNNNNNNNNNNNNNNNNNNNNNNNNNNNNNNNNNNNNNNNNNNNNNNNNNNNNNNNNNNNNNNNNNNNNNNNNNNNNNNNNNNNNNNNNNNNNNNNNNNNNNNNNNNNNNNNNNNNNNNNNNNNNNNNNNNNNNNNNNNNNNNNNNNNNNNNNNNNNNNNNNNNNNNNNNNNNNNNNNNNNNNNNNNNNNNNNNNNNNNNNNNNNNNNNNNNNNNNNNNNNNNNNNNNNNNNNNNNNNNNNNNNNNNNNNNNNNNNNNNNNNNNNNNNNNNNNNNNNNNNNNNNNNNNNNNNNNNNNNNNNNNNNNNNNNNNNNNNNNNNNNNNNNNNNNNNNNNNNNNNNNNNNNNNNNNNNNNNNNNNNNNNUAUAUUAGUUGUGUACCCGCGUGAUAUGGCACCGGAAAAAAAAUGUUUCGGCUAUUAGUUAUAUUCGAACGUUUUGUUUUAGACUUUGUGUUUCGGCUAUCAACCUUUUUUGGAUGUUUUGUUUCACCUAUUUGUUCCUUUAGACAUUUCAUUUUGACGAAAGUUUUGUUUGGAUGUUUUGUUUCGAGUAGUAGUUUUGUUAAGACAUUUUGUUUCGCCGACAUUUUUCUUUGGACAUUUUGUUUCGGUUAUUAGUUUUCUUCAGCCUUUUUGUUUCAACGGUAAUUUUCUUUGGAUGUUUCCUUUCGGCUAUUAGUUUUCUUCAGACGUUUUGUUUCGACUAUAGUUAUGUUUGGAAGUUUUUUUCGGCUAUUAGUUUUCUUCGUACAUUUAUAUUUAAAGAAAGUUUUCUUUGGACAUAUUGUUUCAGGUUUUAGUUCUCUUCUGACGUUUCGUUUUGUGAUAGUUUUCUUUGGACGUAUCGGAAAUUUCGUUUCGGCUAUUAGCUAUUAGUUUAAUCCGGAGGUUUUUUCUUUGGACGUUUUGUUUUAGCCAUUAGCUAUUAGUUUUCUCAUGACAUUUUGUUUCACAAUAGUUGUUUCAUUUCGGUUAUUAGUUUUCUUCGGAUGUGUUCUUUGAAAUAUAGUUUUCUUUGGACGUUUUGGAUUUUGUUUAAUCUAUUAGUUUCUUUGGAUGUUUCAUCUAUUAGUUUCUUUUGAUAUUCCAUUUCACUUAUUAACUUUUUUUUUUUUAUAUUUCGUGUCGCCUUUUGUGGUAUGGUUCGACAAAUAGUAUAUGAGCAGCAAUUAGAUUUCGUUCUAUGAAUAUUUUUUCUUUUGAUAUGUCAUGUUUGAAUAUCAUAUUAAUACUUGGGCAACUAUUUAUCAUAUUAGUAUUCAGGCAGCUACUAAUAUAUAAUUAUUUUUUAGGUUAAAUUUUGAAACGUAUUGUUAUAUUUGUUGAGACAUAGAUUAUAAAAAUUUUGGUAAGCUAUUCAAGAUUUAUUGUAAUCAUAAUAUUAUUAUAAUUGACAUGUAAUUUAUUUAAUUCGCAUAAAAUAACAAAUUAUUUUCUUCAUGAAAUUAUUACAAUUAAUUUCUUUCAUCAUCCCCUAAUCUAAUAAAUAUUUUUCCACGUGGCAUUUUCUCAAUACAUUCUUAGAAUAUUUUCCCGCCUAAAAUUUUCAAUAUAAGACUCUCUUUUUCUAAAUGCUUUUUCGAGUUCGUUUUCAGCCUAAUGUGUUUUUAUCCAUAUACCCUUUAUACAAGAUUCAUGUUUCCAGUUAUAUCUUCAAAUUCAAAUCUUUCCUAAAUUUACGGCUGUAAUUUGCACAAUCAAAUCCCUCUAUAUCUACAAAUCCACGAGAUAAAAGGAUUGAUUUGUCAGUCUUCUCAAUUGUUAUUUUUCUUUAUCAGUAUGCACCGAUGGAACCCUAAUGGCUUCGUUUUCUUGAUUGCAGGUUUGAUAACGACAAUCUAAUCCUCCAUGGCGCGUGAUGAAAGUUCAUCUCUUCUCAAACCUAAGUAUAGGCAUCGAAGACGAAAUAGGUUACGACGUUUAUGUCAACUUCCUCAAAAUUCAGAUUUUGUUUCUCCAUCGUAACAUCUAUAAUAUUCAAUUCCCAGUUAUUUUUAAAUUCAUUUAGAAGGAACAUACAAAGUGUUAGCAUUAAUGUCUCUCUUCUCUCUCAUUUCUUCUCUGUUUUUAGAACAAUCUAUCAUUCGAGUCUCAGAUAAUGAUGUUGCUUGAUCAUCCAAAUGUUCUUAAAAUCAAACCUCUCAUUUGUAAACGACCAUAACCUAUGGGUUGUUAUGCCUUUCAUGGCAGGUGAUUCUCGUCGUCAUAUGUUGCAGGCUUUCCUGAGGGUUUUAGGAAGUUAUUAUUGCCUUUGAGGUGUUCAGCAAAAUGUGAUAAUGAAUUUCUUUUUGGAAAUGAAGGUUCAUAUUUGGUUGUAUUAAUAAAAUUGUAGAUUGUUUUGGUCCCUUCAUGUUUGUUUUUCUUGAAAAAAAAAACAAUAUAAUGUUAGGAAAAAAACAUACAUGUAUUUUGAAUUAAUAGAGGUCUCAGUUGUAAGAACCAUCCAGUUUAGGAACAUCAAAAUUUUUUGUAAAAGAGUCGGGUCGUAGAAAACAGGGUGAUGGUUGGGUUUCAUUUUUUGCACUAUCUUUUGUUAAGUUCUUAUUUAUGCGUAGAUAUUACUCCUUUUAGUGUGUGGAACUGCAAUGGAGAAGAGCAAAUGGUUAGUGUUAUAUUAAUAUUUAUAAAAGGAAUGAUUGUUGAUAUUUGAGAAUCACGAAGUAUGAGGAUCGAAAUGAUCAAGAUGUGUAUGGAACUCAAGGUUGAUAAAUUCAAGUAAUAUAUGCACUUGGAAAGGAAAUUGUUGGGAGAUCAAUUAAAAAAAAUUAUAUUAAAAGAUCAAAGAAGAAAAAGUAGUACUCUUUGUAAGGGUAGAGUUUUAUUCCUUAUUAUAAAUAAGCAUGGCUUCGAUUUACAGUUUAAAGCAAAAGUUGAUUGUCAUUGGUCAAUUAGAUUUAAUCUUUGCGAAAAUCGUGUGUCCCGAUAUCAAUAUUAAUCAGUGUUCUAAAAGGCGUGCCAUGGCGUGAGGCGUGGCUCCGUCGUUACGAAUAGCCUCAUAACGUUGCUGUUAGGUGUGGCGCGUGAUAUGGCGUGUUAUGGCGCCUGUUUUUUCGUUUGAGACACAGUUUUUUGCUCUUUGUUAUGUAUUUUCUAAUCGGAAAUCCAAGUAUUGUGGUUUUUGUUAAAAUUUUGUUACUAGUUAUUGAUCUAACACUUCUAAAAAGUAGUUAUAUUUAAUAUAAAUUUAUAUUUAUGUGGUAAUAUAAUUUUAAAUUAAUACAAAAUCGCCGCCUUACAUCACGCCUUGAAAAACGUCAUGGCUCGCCAUGGCUCGUUAAGCUUGAGGCUUGACCUUGCCGUCACGCCACGCCUCACGCCAUUUAGAACCUUGAUAUUAAUUACCAUUUGAAUUGUUAUUAUUGGAUAAACAAUGCUUUUUCUUUAUUUGGUGAUUAUGCUUUUUCGAUUUCAAAUUUUGUUUCAUCAAAUUAACUAUCUUCAUAUCUUUGAUGUUUUCCAGGUUUACUCUGUUGUGGAGGCUGAUCUGUUAAAUUUGAGUGGAACAAAGCAUUCUGAAAUUUUGAAAAUCAGGUGUGCUUAUUUUCGUUGCGAUUUUAUCAUAUUACAGCUAAAAGUGAGGAAUGGAUUUGAACUGUUGCGGUUCCCUUGAAUAAAAUAUUAAUAGAUUAAACUUAGAUCAUUAAAGUUAAUGGAGAUGAAUUCAUAAAGAAUAUGACAUGAUUUUCAUUUGGCUUCAAGAAAAGCCCAAGAAGCUGGUAAUAUUAUAUCAUAUCAAUUUUAUUCUAUCAAAAUAAUCGUUUUCCUACUGAUUUAUAGGGUUUUUAUAUCACAGCAUCCACCUUAGAAAGAGUUUCAUUUCUUGCUUGAGAAAUUCUUUGAAAAUGUUCGCAUUCAACUUUUCGAAAGGGUGAGUAACUUAGAACAUAUUCAACACAUUUUUACUUCUAUUUUCAUUUUGAUUAUGAACUUUAAUGAUACAUGAUAAUAGGGAAGCAUGUUUCUCAACUAAGAUAGUUGAUUGCAUUUUGGGACUAAAAAGAUUACAUGAGGAAAAAUGGUCUUUUAUCAUGAAUUAUGAUUUUUUUUUUCAUGCUUUUGUUAAUUCUUUUGAUACUUAAAGUUGUCAUAGUUUUUCUAUCUUUUUAUACUUAAUCGUUGCUUUGUUUUAUAAUUUAGUAAUGCCCAUAAUAAAUUUCUUGCAUUUUAACCUUUUUGAUUAUCGAAAGUAUAAAAGAAAAGUACAUUGAUAUUUUGUGUGUUUAACAUUUUUAAUGAGAAAAACACGAUAUUAUUCCUCACAUGAUGUUUUAAAAUGGUCUUAAAGUGUCAGGUUUGUCAAAUCAUAAGUUACUUCUAAAAGUAAUAUACUUAUAUAAUGGCAAUCGACUACAAAUGUUAUGUCUGGGCAAAUGUAUUAUUAAGGUCGUUAUUAAAUCUAGAAAUAUAAUUUUAUAGACAAAAUUUUUAUCUUUGUAAAUUAAUGUUUUUUUUUUUUUUUUAUAAUUCCUUGAUUAGUCGAUUUGCAAUAUCUAAUAGUAUUUUUUUCUUUUUCAUCCAUGUUUUCCACGAGUUGUAACCUAGUAAUGAUAAUAAACAAAAAAUAAAUCUUAAUACUAUAAGUAUUAUAUACAAAAAAUAUUAUGAGAAGGAAUUUCAUAUAGAUACGUAAUUCUAACAUGUUUUAUAGAUUUCAUAUAUUUUGUCAAUCUUUAAAUUUCUUUGUUUAUAUAUUUAAGUGUUGAAAAUACAAUUCCUAUGUACGGAAAAACUCUAUUUUUUUUAACACGAUUAUGUUUGUAUUUUAUGAUUUUUUUUAUAUAAAACUCAAUGAGUAGACUUGAAAUCGAAAAAUAUAUUAGAAAAUAUGAUUUUUUUUGAAAGAAAAGUUUUUUUAUUAGAAAAAUAUAAGCUAGAGACCUAGACCCAACUCAACCUUUUAACGUGGUCAGAAAAGAGAGUCAUAUUAGAGUAUGCGGUAUGGGUGAUGUUACAAGUUGUUAUGGCUGAGUUGGCAUGCCUUAACGGCGUUGUAACACCAUGAACCCCCCCACCCCCCUUUGUGUUAUGGUACAUCUCAUUGGUAUCAUGACAUUUUGCAACGGGAGAAUUGGCCAAUAGCAUCAUUUUUCUUUGUCUCUCUCUCUCUCUCUCUCAUAACAUGUCAUAACAAGGAACAUCAUUUCCUAUGUGGUGUUAAGGUGGUGUUAUAGUUGAGCUAGCAUGUGAAGUUGUGUUAUAAUAUUGACCCACACCCAAUGCUCUUAGCCGCUGGGAAGCAUUGGAAACUAUAUCAAUUAGCCUUUCCAGUUUUCACUUGAGAUUUGUGACGUAUAUUCUAAUGUUUUUUCUACUUUAUUUGACUAUUUUUUUUUGUUACUCAUAUAUCAUCACUAUAAAUAAUCUUAGUUUGGCAAAGGGAUAAUGACUUGAAAGGGUAACAAACUUUCGACUUUUUUCACAUUUAGUCACUAAACUUUUUUUCGUUAUCUAUUUGCCACUAAACUAUUGAAACUGUUCACAUUUUACCCUUAUGACCGGCUGUAACCGGUCAUAAGGGUAAAAUGUGAACAGUUUCAAUAGUUUAGUGGCAAAUAGAUAACGAAAAAAAGUUUAGUGACUAAAUGUGAACAAAAUCGAAAGUUCGUUUCCCUCUAAAAAGUUCAAUGACUAAAUGUGAACAAACUUCCUAUUGUAUUAUGUUUUAGAAAAUUAUUUAUUUUUGUUUAAUUGUAGCAACAUUUGUUGAUGAAGAAAUCUAUGAAAUAAAAAAACAAAAUGUAACAUCCGGAUUUCCAGGUAUCAUAAUUUAAGUAUUUUUCUUUUGAGUUAAGAAGAGAGACUCGACGAGUUGACGCCUCAACUCGUCGAGUAAGGUCGCGACUGAUGACUCGGAUUAAUGAAUGGACUCGACGAGUCGGUGAGGCGACUCGACGAGUCUGCGCUGUUGGCAGAAACCCUAAAUCUUUGGGCCCGAGCCAUAUUUAAAGGCACUUAUGGCCUUCAAUUGCGACUACCUUUCCCAUAAGUGAGAACCCUAGCGAGCUUGAGUGUGUAGAGUGAGAGGAAGAGCUAUCUUGAGCUUUUUGGUGUGAUUUUGCAAGAAAGGAGAAGAGUUCCAGCAAGAGGGACCAAGGAAGGUUAUUGUUCUGAGUUAUUCAAGCAAGGAGCUUCAUUCUGAGGUACAAAAAUGAACCCCUUUCCUUCCCUAUUGUGUAGAUUCCAUUUUGGGGUUAGGGCUUGAAUCACUUCAAAGCCCUCUUGCAAGUUUGUGUUAUAGAUAUGGACCAUUCUAGGUCCAGAGAGCCGAGAAUAUAAAGCUUUAGUAGAGUAAACAUUGGGGUUUGAAGUUAGGAAGCAUUUAUGGGAUUUUUAUGGUAUAUAUAGUUACUUUCAUCUUACACAUAGAUAUGAAGUAUUUUAUAUAAAUUACGUGCUAUGUGUGCAUAUUAUUUGAAUACUUGUUGUCUAUGCUGGAUGAACGAUUUUAUACAUGUUUUAAAAGAUUUAAACGGUAUAUUUAUUUUAUAUCUACAAAUAUGUUGCGGAUGAAACAUGGGUAGAUGAAAUAGUUGGUGUGUGAUGAAAUAAAAUGAUGAGAGAUAGGUGAUGAUAGAAAGGUGAUGAUAAUUAGGUAAAUAGAUGAUGAUGAAUAGGUGAUGUAGGAUGAAAGGAGAUACCAUAACCUUAACCGACAAUGUGGCGAUGUAGUCAUCUACCAGAGUAUAGAUGGCGACCACGGACUAUUCUAGACAACCCAGUGGAAACACCAGCAGGCCCAUAACCUGUAGGUGAUGAAUUACGAGUUCAGACGAUGUUGUAACUACGUAUUCAUGCGAUGAUACUCUAACCCCUUACUAUGAAUUACGAGUUCAGACGAUGUUGUAACUACGUAUUCAUGGGAUGUCACAAAUUCUGCAUGCCAAACCAAUGGUCAUAAUUCACAUUAGUGAGAAUGGUUCAUUUUUUUGUAAAACCAAAAUCAGAUUGGAAAUUUUGAUUUUUAUUUUGGAAGUCAAACCAUUGGUUUUUUAUUUCCGUUUCGAUUUUUUUUUUUUAAAUAUAUUUUCAGGGUUUUUUUUUUUAUUAUUAUUUUUUUAUUUUUUUAUUUUUUUAUUUCAUAGAUUUCUUCAUCAACAAAUGUUGCUACAAUUUAACAAAAAUAAAUAAUUUGCUAAAACAUAAUACAAGAGGAAGUUUGUUCACAUUUAGUCAUUGAACUUUUUAGAGGGAAACGAACUUUCGAUUUUGUUCAUAUUUAGUCACUAAACUUUUUUUCGUUAUCUAUUUGCCACUAAACUAUUGAAACUGUUCACAUUUUACCCUUAUGACCGGUAACAGCCGGUCAUAAGGGUAAAAUGUGAACANNNNNNNNNNNNNNNNNNNNNNNNNNNNNNNNNNNNNNNNNNNNNNCCCCCCUUUGUGUUAUGGUACAUCUCAUUGGUGUCAUGACAUUUUGCAACGGGAGAAUUGGCCAAUAGCAUCAUUUUUCUUUGCCUUUCUCUCUCUCUCUCUACUCUCAUAAUAUGUCAUAACAAGGAACACCGUUUCCUACGUGGUGUUAAGGUGGUGUUAUUGUUGAGCUGGCAUGUGAAGUUGUGUUAUAACAUUGACCCACACCCAAUGCUCUUAGCCUCUGGGAAGCAUUGAAAACUGUAUCAAUUAGCCUUUCCAGUUUUCACUUGAGAUUUGUGAGGUAUAUUCUAAUAUUUUUUCUACUUUAUUUGACUAUUUUUUUUGCUACUCAUAUAUCAUCACUAUAAAUAAUCUUAGUUUGGCAAAAUACUAAAACUAAAUUAAGCACUAUAAAUAAAAAAUUUAGAACAUAAACUUAUAUAUAUAUAGUUGAAGAUUAUAUGUAUCAAGUUUAAAAAACACUACAUAAAAAUAUCGUAAAAGUAAAUAUGAAAAAAUUGAUAGUUAAAAAUUUGAAAAUAAUAAUACCUAAUGGAACAUUUUUCUAAUUCAUAAUAUAAUUGAAGGGUUUUUUUUUUUAUUUUUUUUUAUUUUGCAUUUAACGUUAUCCGGCUUGAUUCAAGACAACAUUUACUACCAAUGAUAACCAUCAUCUUUUUAUUUUCAUUUAUUAGAAAAAUAACAUAUAAACUUCACCUUAUCCAUUGAAAGAGAUGCAGAUACACAAAGCUCAAGGAAGAUGCAUAAUCAAUGUCCUAUCUGAUGGGUUUUAGCUAUAAGAACAUCCUAUGUGCUCAUACAAACCCUAAUGCUUGGAUCUAGGUUUCUCUAAUGUACAUGCAAUUCAUCCAAUACUUUAAACCCUAGAUCUAAGAUAUGAUAAUCAAUAUUAACAUAACAAUGGGUUUAAAAUAUUACCUUGAUUGUUAUGUAGCAAUAACAAUCAUAAAUCCUCCUUGUAAUGACUUUAGAAAGCUUAGAGUCACAAAUGUCACUCCUCUAAUGGCUCCCAAACACCAAGAGCAAGAGGAUGAAGAAUAAGGAGAGUGGAGACUGCCCAAAACGUGUGGAAACCCUAAGGAACAAGUUCUUCACGUUUUUGGGGCUUAAGGGUUCUUUAAAUAGUGAGGCUAUUAGGGUUAUCUAACAAGGAAACCCUAAUUUGGAUGCUUAGGCCCUAAGCAACCCAUGAACCCCUUCCUUAAAGGCCUUGGACGAUUUCUAAUGGGUUUCCCCAUAGAAUUCGUCCACCCCUUUAAUAUGGAGUCCAUUAGCUCAAUAUUCAACUAUCAUACAAUUGACAGUUCUAGUCCCUUAAGUUCAAUUAAUGUCUUUUGGCCACAAAAUUAAUUCCUAAUUAAUUAUUGACUAAUAUUAAUUAAACAAUAUGAUUUCUCAUUUAAUAUAUCAUUUUCAUAAUAUAUUAAUAAAUCAUAAUCAAUCCAUUCUCUCCAUAAUUCAUCCUAUCAAGUUGCUUUGGUGAAGGCAACUCAAAAGGACCAUGCACCAUCGGGUCAAGUACAUACCAAAAUAGUUAUGGACUUAGACACUAAUCCAACAGUCUCCCACUUGGAUAAGUCUAAUAACUAUUCUGCAUAUGACUUCAGAUCCUGAUAUGCAAUCGUAGCUUUCUAAAGCUGCUGUCAACUCUGAUCUUAUCAGAUACACGUGUCCUUUAGAUAAGAGAUCAUAUAUUCCUCCAUUCUAGAAUCAUAUAGAUAUGAGACAUGAACUUAAUCAUUCCCUCUAUACAAUUUCCCGAAUUCCGAUUUAUGACGACUGACAACAGACUAUAAUUGAACCAUCAAUUUAGUCUCGACUCAGCCAAGCGCUUAGGUGCCAUCACUAAAUCAUCGAGGGGCCCAAAGAUAUCACUUUUAUCCUACUUUCGAUAAAAGAAACGGAUAAACUUUGAUUCAAUGCUUGCUUGCACUCACUUACCGAACCACACACAACAAUAUUUUUUAUAACACCAAGUUACUGGUGCGUUUACAUAUUAUCAAUGUGCAACCAACUCGCAAGAUACAACUCACACAUCUCGGUUUCAAGAACAUAAGAUGUUAUCGUCUCACCAAUCACUCGUGAUAAAAUCCAUGAAGUGAUCCAAGUGAGUGUGGGUUUAAUCCAAUGCUCAAAUCAUAUUCAUAAGCACUCAUGAACGUUGCAGCAAACAUUCGCUUAUGUCUAAUACACUUUAGACAAUCCACACACCAAUUCACGACAGUCUUCAUUCAUACCUACUUCCAACAUAUGAACGACUGUGGUCCGUUCGAAUAAUUUGACUGUUCUGAACCAAUUAAAUUAUUCAGGAAGUCAAAACAUGCAAAGUAAAACACAAGAAUAAUACUAAUCCCAUAUGGCCUCAAACCUGUAAGUAUAAAUAAAACACCUUUUAUUUAUCACCAUAUCGAUUACUGAUUAUUUGUUGUUUCGGGUAAUCAACUUCUUACUUGAAUUAUAACUACACUUGUCCCAUGCUCUUAGCAUGUACACAAUGCUAACCUAUGGUCCUUACUUUGUGAAAUAGAUCAAAUGAACACAUUUCCAAUCAUACUCAUUUCACAACUCCCAAUCCUUAUCAUAAGUAUAAGAAUAUCAAAUUCUUGCCACUUAUAGAAUAUGCUAGAUUCUAACAUUCUAUGCAACGAUCCUUUCGUAAUGUCACUGCACCAAAGUCACAAAGACUAUUGCCAAUGAUAUUACAAAGUCCUCUAUCGGAGAUUGUUACAAGACAAUUCCUUAGAUAUGAUGUCUCUCACUCAAAGUACAUUCCUUUGAACAUCCUUUUGCAUAAAAGUUUCUAAUCUAGUCAUAGAUUUUCAAUAUUCAAUUCUCAAUAUGGACACGUUUCCAUAUUUUCCAUAUGACAACUCAUUCUUAAUAGAAUCUUAUCUAUUCGUAAUGAUGUCGAUAUGGUCCAUCCAAUAUGGAAACAUUUCCAUAAUUUCCAUAUGACAACUCAUUCUUAAUAGAAUCUUUUCUAUUCAUAAUAAUGUCGAUAUGGUCCAUCCAAUACCAUGCUUCCAACUACUCACAAGCGACCAAUCCUCGUCGAACUUUGGAUUGUCCUUUGAUAGUUGUUUAAUUAUUUUAGUCAAAACCAAUUCUAGUCCCUUUUCCCUCUAAAUGCGCUCGACAUUUGGAAAAUUUUAGAAUGGUCAAACAUUAAAGCAUUUGCAAUCGAUCCUAUACCCGAAGCGUAUGGGACACGACGCAUAAUGUUUUAUUUGCUAUGUUCUCAAAAUUCGAAUUGUGAAGAGGGAUGCCGUAAUCAUAAUCGAAAUUUUAAGAACACACUAUGUACCUUUGACUAAAUUUAUUAACAUUUCUCAACCUAAUCCUUUAGAUUUGAAAUGAAGCAUAAUAUUCUCUCCCUUAAUUAUAGCAAAACAACUUUACAACCCUUACGACUUUGCAAGGUAUAACUCUUGUUUUCUAUAAUUAAUAUUGCCAACUUGCAAUACGUGCCUUAAUAAUCAUACAAUCAUAACAUUUAUGCUCCCACUAUCAUGAUGAUUAUUAUAAAACAUAACACUUAUGCUCCCACUAGCUUCGACAUGUAUUCAUAAACAUCUUAACUUUCAGAAAAACAAUACUUAUUGAAUUUCUUAAGUUCAUGUUUCUAAUACUUAGUGCUUUGAUAAUCUUUUAUCAAGGCUUCUUGAACUUAUACACCUUUGCCUUCGAUAGUUCAUAUGUGUGUCUAAACAAUUAAGACUAAUUGCCAAACCUCACAAUUCAAAUUAUGGAAAGGGAUACCGUAACCAUAAUCGAAUUCGAGAAUGCAAUUUUACAAUCACUAUCUUCUUAAAAUCUUUCUUAGUGAAAGCAUUUCCUCACAAUCAUUUUCAUGAAGGAGGAAAUCUUAUGACACUUAGAUUUAAACGGUGUAUGUGUUCCUAUCCAUGUGAAUUUGUUAAAACCAAAGUUUACGACAAAUUCAAACUCAUAUGGACCGAACUUUCUUAAUCUUGAUUUCUUGCCUUAUGGUAGCACAGCUGCCCACCAUGUCUUCCAAGUAGUUAAGCAGCUCACCCUUUCCUAUCAAUGUACCUUUCAUUGAUUAAGGUGCUUUGCCUUUUAUGCGUUCAAAAUGAGAACUCAUAGAACUCACAUGCAUAAUUAACUCGAUUGGAUUGGCACAGAAACAAAAUAAUGUCAACACGAUAGGUUGUAAACCUCAACUCGUGUGCUAGUGAUGAUCGAUAAGGUUUAUUUGAUUUGUUCUUGAAACCUUUCAAGACCAUUAAGACUCCCACUGACUCCUUGACAUAUAAGAUUCUCUUGUCAAUAAACAUUUCUUGACAAACAAAUAUUCAAGAGUUAGUGUAGCUUUUAUCAAAACACUUCAUAAAUUGGUCCUAGUUGGUCUUUGUCUUAUCCAAGACAUCACAACUUUCCACAUUUGAUGAAUGUUAUAAACCUUCUUAAUACUUUUCACUCAAUGUCACAAUCUUAACUCUAAGACUUGUUUUGGAACGAAGUAUGAUUGACUUCUUGAUUUAACCAUUUCUUCAAUUCUUGAUUCCUCUUCUUAGACAUACAAUUGUACUAAGACUCACUUAGAGGAUCAAUUGAGAUAUGGUUCUUAAUCAUUAAGACCUAUCAUAAAGCAUAAAAGGUACUCUCCCUUCUUCUUAGAAUGGAGAAACUUUUAUCUUUCUGCCUACUUGAUUCUUCUUAUUCGUUCUGCUAUUGAUUUAAACUUUUUCAAUCAAUUCAGAAUUACACUUAAUCUUGUAAGUAUAAUCAUAUUUACUAAACCUUUAGUAAAUCAUGACGAAUAUCUUUGUUACUCUUAUGGUGGACUUGAUCAACACGCAACUUUGUGUACUCGAUCUCCUAGUCCUUCACUUGACACUUUGUCAAUGAAUUAGUCUAAUUUCCAAAUAUGAAAUUUCUCAUUCAUCGUGCAACCAAGUUGCAUGAUUCCAAGUUUCUGUCCAAUUGAAACUUGGGCGAUGAGAAACUCUCCCUAUUUGGUAAAUUCUCGACUUUCCAUAAAUAACAUAAUAAGAACCAAAUCCAUUAUUGCUAAUAAUAGAAACAUUCAAACAUCAAUUUUUCAUAUACGCCAUUGCAAGGAUAAAUAAAUAAUAUAAAAUCAAAAUUUAUUUUAUUGCGGAAAAAAUUUGUCCUUACAAUGCAAUUCAUUGAAAAACUAUGCUAAUACAUCUUUCUUAGCAAUCUAAUUCUAACUCUAAGUAGUAGCUCAAGAAUCUAAUCUUCGAGAAAUGCGAUCGAAAUCCAUUCCUUCACGGUUAGAUUCUGCUCACUUCUUCCCUUAAGCUUCCUUUCUUUUCUUCGAUCCUACAAAACAUCAAUUGUAAUCUUAUCACAUUAUGUAUUAAGAAUCUAGAAUAGAAGCUUAAAAGAGUUAGUUAAUGGAUUUUACCUAUAUUAGAGCCAUACGUUUCGACUCUCCCAUCUCUUAGAUCUCUUAGGUAAAUGGGGCAGCUUCGUCUCCAAUGCCCUUUCUCUUGGCAAUAAAAGCAAAUUGACUCUUUUGGAACAUGACAUGGAACUACUUCAGACAUUGCCUUUCUCUUAUGAUCAAACUUUUCGAUCAUAGCAUGUCUUUCGUUGCCAUUGUCUAUAUCCAUAGAGGUCUUGAAGGCAGAUUCACCAAUCAACUUUGCUUUUCUAUUGCGCCAAACCAUUGCUGAUUCAGCAGCAAUAAGCAUAUAGGUGAGAUCUAUAAGGGUCACGUCGCGGUUCAUCAUAUAGUACUCUCUUACGAACUCACUAUAUGAGUUAGGAAGUGACUGAAGAACCCAAUCAACAGCCAUUUCCUCACAGACAACGGAUCCCAACAUUCUUAACCUAUCAAUGUGUGACUUCAUCCCUAGGACGUGUGCACACACCGACUUUCCUUCUUUAUGUUUACUUGCCAAAAGGGCUUGAGUGAUCUUGAACUUUUCAAGCCUUUGAACUUGUGGGUUAGGGAGAAUAAUUGGAGGAGGAGGAGGAAGUGAAGCAUGAUUUCUUGUUCCUCGAUCGAAUCGUGGAAUAUCAUCUUCAUGUGGAAUGCUUGUUCCACGGGAUUUGGGAAGACCAUAGUUGUCGAACUUUGACAUCUACAAAACGGGAGAAAACGAAUUCAAGUUAGUUGAUUGAUUGAGUCCUUAGUAAAUCACCCAAAUGAGAUACUAAGGCUAGGACCCAACACAAUAUUCUACAACUCGGGAGAGGGAUGCCGUAACCCUAAUUGCAGAAUAUUUGAAGGUAAGUGAAUGACGAUUCACUAAUUUCCACCAUGAAAAACGAAAAAGAAAUUUAAGUUUUAAAUCUAUGAAAACUCCUAGAUCCUUUGAGAUUCAUUGAACUUUCAAUGGCAUGUUUAAAUCUCGAUAUGCCCCUCUUGUUUGUGACUGGGAUGCCGAGGAUCACAAAGCGGGUGUGAAUAACCAUGCAAACUUACAUGGUGCCCUCACAUGUUACAGUCACCUAUUCGAUGUGCCGGUAAACCACACACGCUCCACCGAACUAUGACAAACAUUGAGUCACCCUUUGCUACCUUUGCUUAGAACCAUUUAGUGUGCCGGUUAACCACACACGCUCCACUAACGUCUUCGCAAGGGCACAAAGUGUAAUUUCAUGGAAUUGCAUCAAUUCACUUUUGCCUAAGUAACUAAGAUUGGGAAUUUUAUGAAAACAUUUAGUUACUUUAAUAAUUCAUUAUACUUAUAAUGGAAGGUUUCGUCCUAUCCUACCCGUUCGGCUAACGACCCUCCACUAGUCAAGAGUGCGGUGGGUAAGAGUGGAUACCCAUUCAAUCGCCAUUUUAUAGGCAAUUUCCUUAAACACCCCUUAUAGACCAGCUUCGUGAAUGAGGCCUACUAACGGUAAGACUGACUUUUACUCAUACAUAUAUAUAAUGUUAGACUUUUAAUGUUAUAUAUAGUAUAGGGUGUAUUUUAUACUUUUAAAAUACUAGGUGGUCUAAUUUAACAAUUAUACUUUUAAUUCAAUUAAAUUGUAAACCUAAACUUUUAUGGAUUUAUUAAACCUCUUUUAAUUAUACACCUUAAUUAAUUAAUAAAACCAUAAGGGUGUGAUUUGAACUUUUUCAAAACUAUACUAGAGUUUUAGAAUUUAACAUUCCUAAUUAAACUUUUAAUCAACUUUUAAAUUCCAAAACUUGAGGGCAAGUUUUGAAACAUUUCAACACAUUAGGGUUUAGAAUUUAAAUAUGCAUCAAAAUUAAACUAUUUAAUCAAAAUUUAAAUUCCAAAACUUGAGGGCAAGUUUUGAAACCUUUUUCAAAACAUUAGGGUUUCAACUAUUUAAAUUUCAAAACAACAAAACUUUUGGGGUUCAAAUUUAAACUAUAAAACCUAAAGGGCCAAAUAUGAAACUUUUCACAACAACAAGGAUCAAAUAACAAAUAAUUCAAAUUAACAUUUAAUCACAUAAUUAUCCAUAUUUGAUGAUUUCUUGCAAAAUAAUUUAUCAAUUUACUUAAAAUAAUUAAUCAAUUAUCUUAUAAGGAAACAAUUAUCUUAUUAAUUGAUAAAUAUCUUCAAUUAGAUUAAAAAUAUAGUCAAAUAUAUCAUAUAAUCGGAUUAAUAUUAAUCUAACAUGAUAAGGUAAUUAUCCCAAUGCAAAAACAGCAAGAAAUCCCGAGAUAAGCACUGUCUGACGCACCGACUCGCCGAGUCACCCUCUGGAACUCGCCGAGUAGGGCUGACUCGCCGAGUCCAAGAGUGACUCGCCGAGUCAGGUCGAACAGUGAGGCCAAAACACGAUUUUCAGUUACAUCAAGCAUCAAUACAAUAGAAACCAAUCAUGGCUCUGAUACCACUGAUGGGUUUUGGUCAUAAGACAUCCUAUGUGCUCAUACAAACCCUAAAGCUUGGAUCUAGGUUUCUCUAUUGUACAUACUUUGAAUCCAAGACUUUGAACCCUAAUUCUAGCAUAUGGAAAUCAGAAUUCACAUGUAAUUAGGUUUAAGAACAUACCUUGAUUGUUAUAUAGCAAUAACAAUCCAAUUCCUCCUUGAAUUGACCUUGGAAAGCUGAGAGUCACAAGUGUCACUCCUCUAAUGGCUUACAAACACCAUAAGCAAGUGGAGAAGGUAUAAAGAGAGAGGAGGGAGGUUAGAAUUCGUCCUUAGGACCUCUUGGGAAGGGUUAGACGAAUUCCUAAGCCCUAGGGGGUUUAUAUAGGUGUAAAGAUUAGGGUUUUAGUCCUUAUCCUUAUCUAGUUGCUUGUCCACCAAGCAACCAUAAGAUAAGUCCUAGAAACCCUUAUCCUAGUCGAAUUCUAAGGGAUUUACACCUCAAAUUCGUUCACCAUAUAUAUAAGAUAAUCCUUACCUUAUUUUGUAACUAUCACAUAAUUACAAUUCAGCCCCUCUAGUUUAAUUAAUUACACUUGAUCACAAAAUUAAUUCUUAAUUAAUUAUUGACCAAUAUUAAUUAAACAAAUAUGAUUUCUCCUUUAAUAUAUUAUUCUUAUAACAUAUUAAUAAAUCAUAAUAACCUCUCUCUCUAUUUAUUUCUCCAAUCAAGUUGCUUUGGUGAAGGCAACCCAAAAGGACCAUGCACCAUCGGGUCAAGUACAUACCAAAAUAGUUAUGGACUUAGACACUAAUCCAACAGUCUCCCACUUGGAUAAGUCUAACAACUAUUCUGCGUAUGACUUCGGAUCCCGAUCUGCAAUCGUAGCUUUCCAAAGCCGCUGUCAACUCUGAUCAUAUCAGAUACGCGUGUCCUUAGAUAAGGGAUCAUAUAUUCCUCCAUUCUAGAUAUCAUAUGAGAUAUGAUUUCAAAUCAUUCUCUUUGUACUAUAUCUCGAUUUCCGAUUUAUGACGACUGACUAAUUGAACAAAUCAAAUUAGCCCUAGCCCGGCCGAGCAUUUACGUUUGUCAUCACUAAACCAUCGAGGGGCCCAAAGAUAUCGCUUUUAUCCUACUUUGGAUAAAAGGAACGGAUAAACUUUGAUACAAUGCUUGCUUGCACUCACUCACCGAAUCACACACAACAAUAUGUUUUAUAACACCAAGUUACUAGUGCGUUUACAUAUUAUCAAUGUGCAACCGAUUUGCAAGAUACAACUCACACAUCUCGGUUUCAAGAAUAUAAGAUGUUAUCGUCUCACCAAUCACUCGUGAUACAAUUCAUGGAGUGAUCCAAGUGAGCGUGGGUUUAAUCCAAUGCUCAAAUCACAUUCAUAAGCACUCAUGAACGUUGCAGCAAACAUUUGCUUAUGUCUAAUACUCUUUUAGACAAUCCACACACCAAUUCACGACAGUCUUCAUUCAUAUCUACUUCCAACAUAUGAACGACUGUGGCCCGUUUGAAUAAUUCGAUUAUUCUUAAUAAACUCAAUUAUUCUGGAAGUCAAAACAUGCAAAUGUGAAACACAAGAAUAAUACUAAUCCCAUAUGGCCUCAAACCUUUGAGUAUAAAUAAAACACCUUUUAUUUAUCACCAUAUUGAUUACUCAUUAUUUGUCGUUUCGGGUAAUCAACUUCUUACUUGAAUUCCAACACUUGUCCCAUGCUCCUAGCAUGCACACAAUGUUUACCUAUGGUUCUUACUUUGUGAAAUAGAUCACAUUGAACACAUUUCCAAUCCUUCUCAUUUCACAACUCCAAAUCCGUUUUUCAUAAGUCAAAGAAUAUCAAAUUCUUGCUACUUAUAGAAUAUGCUAGAUUCUAACAUUCUAUGCAACUAUCCUUUCGUAAUGUCACUGCACCAAAGUCACAAAGACUAUUGCCAAUGAUAUUACAAAGUCCUCUAUCGGAGAUUGUUACAAGACAAUUCCAUAGACGUGAUGUCUCUCACUCAAAGUACAUUCUUUGAACAUCCUUUUGCAUAGAAGUUUCUAAUCUAGUCAUAGAUUUCUCAAUAUUCAAUUCCCAAUAUGGACACACUUCCAUAUGUUCCAUAUGACAACUCAUUCUUAAUAGAAUCUUAUCUAUUCGUAAUGAUGUCGAUAUGGUCCAUCCAAUAUGGAAACAUUUCCAUAUUUUCCAAUACUAUACUUCCAACUACUCACAAGCGACCAAUCCUCGUCGAACUUUGGAUUGUCCUUUGAUAGUUGUUUAAUU